rnacentral:lncRNA from 1 species
GCGAAUCAAUUGCGCACCUUCAGGAGCGCGUACGUGGCCGUCAGGAAGACACAAGUCGCGGGACGCGGAGAUAUUUUCUCUUGCGAGAGGCGCGUGCACGCUCAGAGUUCAGAUCGAGGGCCUCCACUUGCCCCCGUGCCAGCAGUCCAGUUCAGAUCCACCGCCUCCAUCCCCAUCGAGCACAAUCCACCUCGCCGUUGACUGCUGCCUCCCUCCCCAUGGAGCGCCGUCCACCCUGCCGUUGACGGCCGCCUCCCUCCCCAUGAAGCGCCGUCCACCUCGCCGUUGACGGCCGCCUCCCUCCCCAUGGAGCGCCAUCCACCCCGCCGCUGGCGGCCGCCUCCCUCCCCUUGAAGCGCCGUCCACCUCGCCGUCGACGACCGCCUCCCUCCCCAUGAAGCGUCGUCCACCCCGCCGUUGAGGGCCGCCUCCACCCCUCCAGACCGGCCACCUCUUCGCUGCGAGCCUAGGACGUCCAGAUCUGCCUACCUCGGCUCUGACUUCCAGAUCCUCCCCCAGAUCCGCCUGCGUGCAAAGGUGACUCCAUCCCCGUCCAGGGCCCCCCUGCUCCUCCUCUCCCUAAUCUGGCUGCCGUGUCAAAUAAUUUUACUUCUGCUGCAGAGCUAGAUCUACUCUUUUGUUAUUCCUUGCUUGUUGUUACUCUGUACAUUGUUGUUUGAGAUCGACCUCAGAUAUUGUUUCAUUAAUAUAGUAUGUUAAUCUUCGCAUAUAUUUCUUCAUGGCUUUGUUCUGCGUUUUAGUUUGUGACAAAGAUUGCCAUGCAUUCUUUGGUGUCAAAUGACCUUGUGUACUGAAAGCUGGUGCAAUAGAAUUACCUUGUACAAUCAUCCAUAUAUUUUAUGGUAAAAGUAAAAGAUUAUUUAUUUCAUUUUUAAUUCUGAACAUGCCUCGUUGUGCAUCUUUAUGUCAGUGUGAAAGGACUUCUAUAGGGAGAGAGAAAUUGCUAUUUAGGAUUGCAAUUUAGUUGUCAAAUCUGUCUACUAUUGCCUUUUUGGUUCACAAUUAGUUUCCAAAUUUAGUACUUAAAUGAUGCUAAUUUUGCUGUUUGAGUAAUCGUGCACUUGUGAUAAAUUCGCUAUGUUUCAGGGGUGGUUCAUGAUCAUCCAUUCAGACCAAAAGCAUGUUGGUAAGUUGCAUUCAGUUUAUGGUGGGAAAGAUGUAUUGCCAUAGGGAAGCUACAAAAUUGAACACUUACAGGUGCAUGGGUAGUUUAUUUGAGUUAUAGGUGAUGGUGCUAUAAGGAAAGCAGUGCUUGUUGCAAAAGCUAGGGAGAAGGAUGUAGGACAAUCACACUCUGUUGUACCAAGAUUUAUUGAGGAAAAAUGUUCAGUUGCAAAGGCACUGCAAAAAUGAUUCUCUUCUGACCAAACAUCUACAAGUAUUGUUCAUCUUUUACUCAUAUUUGCUUUGAUUGUGUUACAGAUCCUGUUGAUGCUUUGCACAUAAACUGAACCAUUUGUUGCACUGUAGUUGGUAUAUGUCAAGAUGGGAUAGGAAAUACCCAAGAGCUUCUUGCUUUUCAUGAUGAGCCAAUGGAUGGUAGUGAUCUGGUAAGUAGUGCUUAUGAUCCGCAAUUCCUCUAUGCAAACUAUUCUUACGUUGAAUUUCACAAGUAUAUCUACGUAUAAUACAUGCAGAUUGUAAUGUAAUCAGAACAGGGUGCGUCAUAGUAGUUCAUGUGUUGAUGAUAAUCUAUGAUAAGAAACAAUCUAUUUGUCUCAUACAAAGGCAGUAUUUCUAGAGUCUCUUGUGAAAGAAAAUCUUACUCUGAUAUAGGCAUAGUUUUUAUGGCUUCAGAGGCUGCUGCCUACUCCCUCUGUCCAUGAAUAAGUGUACAUCUAACUUUUGUCAUGGAGGGAAUAAGUGUCUGUGUAUUUUAAUCAGUGGUUGCUACCUGCUUAAGUGCCUGUGCAUUAUGCGUCUAUUCAUGUACAACUCAAUUGGUGGUGGUUAUCAUACAAAGUUAACUAUUUUUCUCUAUACUUGUAGUGCUAGCCUAAAAAGCCGGACAUGGGGACAUGCUCAGACAUGCGUAUGCCGCCGUAUUUCGUGAUUACGAAUGAAAAAAAGAAUGCAUAGGGAGCAUGUCCUCCCAAUGGCAACCACACCAGACUAGGUAACCUCGACCUCUUUCAUCUAUUUGAAUUUAGUUUUUGUUGAGCUGCUGCUGCUGCUGCUUGCUUCCCCUGUUCGUCAUGCCCUUGCUGCUUCUACUCGCUAGUUGCUUCCCCAUGCUGUUCAUGUGCUGCUGCUGCUUGAUUGCUUGUUGCUUCCCCAUGUUGUGCACGUGCUGCUGCUUGCUUGUUGGUUGCUUCCCUGUUUUGCUGCUGCCUGCUUGUGUCGAACUGUUGAUUGGUGCUUCAUGUUAUGGAACACCAAAUCAUCAAUGGGUGAGAGUGAAUGAGGACAACCUAGACCUGGUACUGACAAUUCGAGACUUUUUCAUUUUAUUCCUGUUACUUCAUGAUUGCAGCCUACACUUGGCACCAAGAUAAGACUUUUUCACUUUCUUGCUAGCAAAUAAUGUGUUUCAUUAGGUGGAUUUUAUAUUUUGGUUUGACAAGUUGUAUAUGUACCAUAGAUUUGCCUUUCACCUUGUUCACUGAAGUCUGCUACAUUUUUUGUUGUAGGGGUGAAUGGAUCCUCCCAAGGCCAAGAGAAUGCUUGUACUCCAUUGACAAAUUCUUCUCAUCCUGAAGAUCUUGCUCAUGCUACACACCUGGAUGAGCGUGGUUCUACUCCAAAGAGGAUAAUCAUUCAGGAAUGCCACUAGCAUAAUUAGUGUUUAAUAUCGUGAACCAGGGUGCAGGUAGCCUUUUAUUUUUUCACUUGCUUCUCUUGGCAAUUCAUGUAAAUUCGUGGCAAAUCAUGUAAGUUGAGGUUCUAUGAAUCAUGAGUUGGGUAUGAAUAUGUGGAUCUUGUGAACAUUGAGCUUUCAAUAUAAUUGGUUCAUUGUGAAUUAUGAAUUGAAUGUGAUUUUCAAAUGCGCUGUGCGACCAUGGUUUG